rnacentral:rRNA from 1 species
AUGGACGCGUACAAAAUUUCUAGGAAAGCAUCUGCGCCCGAACGCCCACCACAGCAUCUAACCGAACACCUGUUUCUUGUCCUCGUCCUCGGGCUCAACGAACGGCAUCCAAACAUAGCAUUAUCCCCGACACCCCGCCAACUAAGCUUCUCAGUAUAUAUAUCGACCGCUUGUUCUUGCCGCCGAUCACACACAUUGCUGUACCUUCUUCCCCGGUGCGCUGCCGUCCGCCGAUCGAUCCAUCGAUCGAUCAUGGAGGUGGAGAACCGGUACAUCGCCGUCAGGCACCACGUCGAGGGUUCCCCGUCGGUGGACGACUUCGAGGUGAAGACGGAGGCCGUGCGGUGGACGCCCGAGUCCGGCGAGGUCCUGGUCAGGAACAUGUACGUCUCCAUCGACCCCUACCAGCUCAACCGCAUGAAGCGCCAGAGCGCCUCCCACCACUCCGUCGACGUCAUCGUGCCCGGCGAGAGGAUCGCGUCGUACGGAGCCGGCGAGGUGGUGGCGUCGGCGUGCGAGGAGUACAAGGAAGGCGACGUGGUCGCCGGCAUGCUCGCCUGGGAGGAGUACAGCGUGUUCCGGCCGGCGUCCGUCCUCCUCAUGUCCAAGGUCGACACCUCCUCCGGCUUCCCCUUGUCCUACCAGCUGGGCGUGCUAGGGACGAGCGGCAUGACGGCGUACGGCGGGUUCUACGAGGUGUGCAAGCCGCAGGCCGGCGAGAAGGUGUUCGUGUCGGCGGCGUCGGGCUCCGUCGGCAGCCUCGUCGGCCAGUUCGCCAAGCUCGCCGGCUGCCACGUGGUCGGCUGCGCCGGCACCCAGGCCAAGGUGGACAUGCUCAAGGACAAGCUGGGGUUCGACGACGCCUUCAACUACAAGGACGAGCCGGACCUGAAGGCCGCGCUCAAGCGGCGCUUCCCCGACGGCAUCGACAUCUACUUCGAGAACGUGGGCGGCGAGAUGCUGGAGGCGGCGCUGGCCAACAUGAACACCUACGGCCGGGUGGCCGUCUGCGGCGUCAUCGCCGAGUACACCGACCCGGGGCGGCGCGCCGUGCCGGACCUGCUCGAGGUGAUCUACAAGCGAAUCACCCUCAGGGGCUUCUUCGCCUGGGACUUCAUCGCCAGGUUCCACGAGUUCACCGCCAUCAUCGGCGGCUGGAUCGAGGAGGGCAAGGUCCAGGUCGUCGAGGACGUCUCCGACGGGCUCGAGAGUGUCCCGUCGGCCUUCGUCGCGCUCUACCGCGGCGAGAAUGUCGGCAAGAAGCUCGUCAAGCUGGCAUAG